AUUGAACGCUGGCGGCAGGCCUAACACAUGCAAGUCGAACGGUAACAGGAAGCAGCUUGCUGCUUCGCUGACGAGUGGCGGACGGGUGAGUAAUGUCUGGGAAGCUGCCUGAUGGAGGGGAUAACUACUGGAAACGGUAGCUAAUACCGCAUAAUGUCGCAAGACCAAAAGAGGGGGACCUUCGGGCCUCUUGCCAUCGGAUGUGCCCAGAUGGGAUUAGCUUGUUGGUGGGGUAACGGCUCACCAAGGCGACGAUCCCUAGCUGGUCUGAGAGGAUGACCAGCCACACUGGAACUGAGACACGGUCCAGACUCCUACGGGAGGCAGCAGUGGGGAAUAUUGCACAAUGGGCGCAAGCCUGAUGCAGCCAUGCCGCGUGUAUGAAGAAGGCCUU
rnacentral:rRNA from 1 species